UUAUCAUUUGGAUUAUUUGUUGCUUGUGUCAAGCCAGUAUGACCAAAACUAUAUUGUACCCAUGUUUGAAUGUUCGUGUCGUUCUGCGCUUUUUUGUAUUUCUUGUACUCUCGGGAUAGAGACAAAUCCAGACCAAAUAUUUAAGAGGUGUUACUGACUUUGUUGAAGUGAGCAGUGGCAGUGCAUCUGACCUGAUGUGAGAUACACACCAUGUUACAACUGAGGAGACUACCACUGACAAGGUCACCGCCCGCCCUUCGUCGUUUGACUUGUGAUUAACUUCCCAACCCUACGAUUUGCAGCAAAAUAGCGACACACCUCUUAUGUAACGGAGGUUAGGCCCGGCUAUCUUCUCUGCCCGCAUAAUUCAUAUAGCACUUGAUGGAUUUCGACCUAAUUUGAUAUUGGUGGCACACACUGAAGAUUGUCGACCAAAAUAAUUUCUUUUCGUAACGGCACAGUAAUCCCAACUUUACAAAAAGCUCACAUUGAGCUUUAUGUCUAUUCUUUGGAAACAUUUUUGUUACCGUAAGUAAAAUAUUAUUCUUAAGUCGGUGGGACAUACGCCCACUAAGCUAUAAAGGAUUAAUCCGUCU